rnacentral:RNase_P_RNA from 1 species
GAUUCAAGUUGGGCAAUUGCUAUUUGAGAUUAAUAUGCUCGAAUAGAGGAAAGUCCGAACACCAAGAACAGAGUGCCGGGUAACGCCCGGGGACUAAUUAUGAAAAUAUUUAGUUACGGAAAGUGCCACAGAAAAAAAACUUCCUAUCAAAUACAGGUUAAUAACCAUUAUUUGUGGGUAAAGGUGAAAAGGCAGGGUAAGAGCCUACCGCUUUGGUAGUAAUAUCGAGGGUCUCGUAUGAGAGUUCCAUAUUUUGGAAUCAGGGUAAACCCCACUUGGUGCAAGGUUAAGUAGAAAGCUUUACAAAAUAAUUUGUAAGAGGGAUGUUCUCCCUUUGCUUUCGGGUAAACUGCUUGAAUUUCGGAGUAAUCUGAAGUCUAGAUAAAUAAUUGCCAUUCCGUUUAUUCGGAAUUACAAAAUUCGGCUUAUAGACUUGGAUCAUCA